rnacentral:lncRNA from 1 species
GGGGGGGCUUUGUUGAAAAAAAAUCAAUAAAAGGGAGAUAACUUCUGAAGGGGAUGAUGAAAUGCUUAACAAUCUCAUCUGGUAAUACUUCAUGAUGAGGUCUAUCGAUGGUCCAUAUUUGGUCUUCAUAACUUCAAAAGAAACAAAAGGAGGGCAUGUCAAAAAUAUGAUGGAAGAAAAUAAAGAGAAAAAAAACAUAAUUAGAAAACAAUAAGGUCUUUCCUCGUGGAGAGGAAAGACCUUAAAUAUGUAAUAGAUAUAGAAUCAUUUAAUAUAGAUUCCGGCG